ACUGAAGGAGGCGAGACUCCAGCACACAGCGAAUGUCCUCGCCAUUCUAUUCAAAGAGAAGAGUCAUCCUGGAACAGCCGUGCUGGAACUCUCAGAACUCAGUGUGCUUGAGGGGUAUGUGGAUCUGUCUUUUGGUUGUGGGUACUUUAAGUGAUGAGAAGUUUAAUGUCAGGAGGCACAUGGCGCAACAGGAGACUCCAAGAACAAAAGUCACAGUACAUCCAGGACUCCAGGAAGUGGGGCUGGAUCCAAGGCAGCCUGAACUGGCAGCAGCAGAAGUUAAUGCGGCUUCACUGGCAGAAUCCAGGCUGGAGUGCAGAGGCAUGAUCUUGGCUCAUGGCAACCUCCACCUCCUGGGUUCAAGCAAUUCUCCUGCCUCAGCCUCCUGAGUAGCUGGGACUAUGAGAUUUUUUUUUAAUUGAAAGAAGCAAGGACAUCAGCUGAGAAGGAGGAUGGAGAAGGAGGUGACAGAAUCUGGAAGAAUAGGAGGUGGCUGAUGCAGUCAUUUAUUAGAGACCCUCUUGAAGACCCCAAGGAGAUACAGAAGUGUUCAAUACACAUUUGAGACUA
rnacentral:lncRNA from 10 species